AGGGCAGUACUUUAAAAAAAAAGGUUUGGUUUGCAACUAAUAAUUGGGUUUAUUACUCCUGUCCUA
rnacentral:tRNA from 1 species